GCCGAAGUGGUGGAAUGGCAGACACCAGGGACUUAAAAUCCCUUGCGGGAAACCGCGUGCCCGUUCGAGUCGGGUCUUCGGCACCA
rnacentral:tRNA from 1 species